rnacentral:lncRNA from 1 species
AAAAACAGAGCAACAAGAAAAGGAAAAAGGGCGGCAGACGGCCUCUCCCCUUCCAACAGCUCUUGAACAGUCCGGCGCCGCCAUCCCCACCACCUCGUCGGAAUCCGCCAUUGCCACCGGCGGAUCUUCAUAAACAGAGGGCACGGUAAGCUAUCCUCUUCCUUCAAAUUUCGGUUUCUCUCCAAACGCAGAUACUGAAAUCUUU